rnacentral:rRNA from 1 species
GCUUAUCAAUAAGCGGAGGAAAAGAAACCAACAGGGAUUGCCUCAGUAACGGCGAGUGAAGCGGCAAGAGCUCAAAUUUGAAAUCUGGCGCAAGCCCGAGUUGUAAUUUGAAGAGGAUGCCUCGGCUGGGGUCACGGCUUAAGUUCCUUGGAACAGGACGUCUAAGAGGGUGAGAAUCCCGUACGGCCGCCGACCCGCGCCAUGUGUGGCUCCUUCGAAGAGUCGAGUUGUUUGGGAAUGCAGCUCAAAAUGGGUGGUAAAUUUCAUCUAAAGCUAAAUAUUGGCGAGAGACCGAUAGCGCACAAGUAGAGUGAUCGAAAGAUGAAAAGCACUUUGAAAAGAGAGUUAAACAGUACGUGAAAUUGUUGAAAGGGAAGCGCUUGCGAUCAGACUCGCUGGCGGUUGAUCAACGUUCCUUCUGGUUCGUGCACUCUUCCGUCUGCGGGCCAGCAUCGGUUGGGACGGCGGGACAAAGGCGCCGGGAAUGUGGCUCCUCGGAGUGUUAUAGCCCGGCGCGCAAUGCCGCCUGCCCCGAUCGAGGUCCGCGCUUCGGCUAGGAUGCUGGCUUAAUGUUCGUAAGCGACCCGUCUUGAAACACGGACCAAGGAGUCUAACAUCUAUGCGAGUCUUUGGGUGCAAAACCCAUGGGCGCAAUGAAAGUGAACGGAGGCGGGAGCCUUAGGGUGCACCGUCGACCGAUCCUGAUGUUCUCGGAUGGAUUUGAGUAUGAGCAUAGCUGUUGGGACCCGAAAGAUGGUGAACUAUGCCUGAAUAGGGGUGAAGCCAGAGGAAACUAUGGUGGAGGCUCGCAGCGGUUCUGACGUGCAAAUCGAUCGUCAAAUUUGGGUAUAGGGGCGAAAGACUAAUCGAACCAUCUAGUAGCUGGGUUCCUGCCGAAG